UCAACACAGGAAAGAAAACUGCAUCCGUCAAGCCAUUUAACUCCACGCUAAUCGUGUGAGAGAUUCGUCUAUCUUUCCCUUCUCACUAUUGCAUACUUUUCCCUUGCAGAUUUAGAAAACAAGGUCAAAGGAUACACCUCCAAAGGGGAGAUGGAGGCGAGGAGAGCUCAGCAUAUCCUUCUGCCUCUCAACGCUGCAGUCCCAUCCAAACCUGAGGAGGACAGUAAGUGGUUUUCCACAAGAAUCUUCCAGAGCUAGCUGAACAGAGCAGGAAUGAGAAAACACAGCUACAAGAACAACAUCUACAAGAUCACCGGCCAGAACAAUGAGAUGAGCACCCAGGUGACCCUCAUUACCUCUCCAUAGAGAGAAUUCAGCACCUAAAACAACAGGACGGAGAGAUUCACAUGGAUCCAGUCCAAGAGUGGCCUGAGGAGAGGGAGGUUCCUCCAGUCCCAAAAGGUGCGAUGAAGGAUUUUAAUGCUGCUGUGCGUGGUUCCAUUCCAGAAGAGCCAUUGAUCAUGAGGCUAGGGGUGCUGCUCAGCCACCCCAGAUCAUUACGACCAGAGCCAGUGGAGACUACUGACCAUUACAGUACACAAGGAGAUUCUCUUGAAACUACUGUGGAAACAAGUGAAUUGAGCUCACUUGUCUGUGUUUGGCCUUUGGAAUGCCCAAUUCCCAAUGCGCUCUAAGUCCUUGUGGUGGCGUAGUGACUCGCCUCAAUCUGGGUGGCAAGGGGACGAAGCUCAGUUGUCUCCGCGUCUGAGACCGUCAAUCCGCACGUCUUAUCACGUGGCUUGUUGAGCAAUAGCGUGGAGGCUUCACGCUAUUCUCCGCGGCAUCCACGCCAACUCUCCACGCGCCCCACCGAGAGCGAGAACCACAUUAUAGCGACCACAAGGAGGUUACCCCAUGUGACUCUACCCACCUUAGCAACUGGCCAAUUUGGUUGCUUAAGAGACCUGGCUGGAGUCACUCAGCACACCCUGGAUUCGAACUCGAGACUCCAGGGGCGGUAGUCAGCAUCAAUACUCGCUGAUCUACCCAGGCCCCCAGUUUUGUUUUGUUUUGUUUUGUUUUGUUUUUUGGAGUUAUAAACAAGUCCAGCAGGUUUCUACAGCAAAUCUGAUUUAAUUUGAGUAGUGGACUGAUAAAGUAAUUAAUCUGACACAUGAAUGAUAAAAGAAAAUGAGUAGGUGUUGGGGUUGAGUUAAGGUUAUCUCUUUGUUCUACUGCUAAUUUUUCUUUUAAAAUGUUAAUUUUUUAAAAAAUUGUAUUCCAAAUGAGUGUCAAAAUAACAAAUCCAUUAAACAAAUAAUACAUUUAAUAGAGGGAAAAAAAUGUAUAUCAAAUAAGACUUCCUAAAGAGUUAGAUGUCCCAGGUCCAGAUGGUUAGACAUGCACGUGUGUACAGACUGAGGGUUCAUCCAUGAAGCAAAUACUAAUGCAGCUGACAAGAGGACACGUCUUUCAGGUUUUAAUUUGACAUUGACAGAUGAACGAUCACAAGUUUAGAACAGCUUAUGUGAUCAAAAUAAAAAAUAAAACCUGAUAUAAUAUUCCCCCGUUUGCUGAUCACAAAAGGCUGUGAAAUGGAGAAAUAAACUAAACAUAUUCACAAUAUAUUGUUGAAAUAAGUUUAGUUUGAGGAAUGCAUUUUCUUUAAAGCUGAUUCAAAUGGAGUAUUAGAACAAACACAAUAUAUUAAACACAUGAAUUACAUUAUGAAAGUUUGUUGCAAUGCUUUUGCUUUAUUAAUAGACAAGACCCUUUCCUUUUUGUUACACAAAAACUGCAAACAAUACACUAUUACUGUCACUAAUACUAUAACUAGUAAUAGUUCUAAAGAUAAUUGUUUUGUAGCGAAAAAUUUUUCUAUAAAAACAUGGAUUUAGUUUUAGUUUUAUUGACAAAAUAUUUCAGAAUCUUCUAAUAAAGUUAUCAAAUUCAAAACUAUAGAAGUACUGUGUAAAAUGUAAUAAUUCAUAAAGUAAUUCAUAAAACAAUUAUUUUAAUAUAUAAAAGUAUCUUUGUUUUUCUAUGGAACUUUUU